rnacentral:rRNA from 1 species
GCAGUCGAGCGGCAGCGCGGGGGCAACCCUGGCGGCGAGCGGCGCACGGGUGAGUAAUGCAUCGGAACGUGUCCUCUUGUGGGGGAUAACCAGUCGAAAGACUGGCUAAUACCGCAUGAGAUCGAGAGAUGAAAGCAGGGGACCCGCAAGGGCCUUGCGCGAGAGGAGCGGCCGAUGCCCGAUUAGCUAGUUGGUGGGGUAAAAGCCUACCAAGGCGACGAUCGGUAGCUGGUUUGAGAGAACGACCAGCCACACUGGGACUGAGACACGGCCCAGACUCCUACGGGAGGCAGCAGUGGGGAAUUUUGGACAAUGGGGGCAACCCUGAUCCAGCCAUGCCGCGUGUGUGAAGAAGGCCUUCGGGUUGUAAAGCACUUUCGGCCGGAACGAAAUCGCGCGGGUGAAUAUCCAGCGUGGAUGACGGUACCGGAAGAAGAAGCACCGGCUAACUACGUGCCAGCAGCCGCGGUAAUACGUAGGGUGCGAGCGUUAAUCGGAAUUACUGGGCGUAAAGUGUGCGCAGGCGGCCGAGCAAGUCGAGUGUGAAAGCCCCGAGCUUAACUUGGGAACUGCGCUCGAAACUACUUGGCUAGAGUGUUGGCAAAGGGAGGUGGAAUUCCACGUGUAGCGGUUGAAAUGCGUAGAGAUGUGGAGGAACACCGAUGGCGAAGGCAGCCUCCUGGGCCAACACUGACGCUGAUGCACGAAAGCGUGGGGAGCAAACAGGAUUAAAUACCCUGGUAGUCCACGCCCUAACG